rnacentral:lncRNA from 1 species
AAGCGUAUUAUAUUGCGUUACGGUAAUCAACGGUUCAGGCAAGUUUUUCAAGUUCUUUUUACUUAAACUCUUUUAAGAGUGGUUUCAGACAGAUAUGCUUAUGAAUUGUACUCUGUACAUAUUGCAUGUAUUCAUCAGGUAUGAAAGGCUGAUCACCUUCAUUACCAGUCAGUUCAGAUAUAAUUGUUAUGUUCAUUUUCAAUGUUCAUUCAGCUUUGAAAUUUUGUUCAUGCUAAUUCACAACUACAUUGUGAAGGAUAGCCAGCUUAUUAUUCAAACUCUUUCAAUCAUGAUAUAUCUUUACCUUGUUUUUUUUAAACUUGCUGGGCAACUUUCAUGCUCACCCUUGCUAUAUCAUGAUAAAACAUUGCAGAUAAGGCGAAUACGGCCAGAUACAGAAAAAGGAUAAUGCCAAGUUCAGCUUGGUACAGAAUGUGAAGUUAAGUUGUAAAGUAUGUUGAAGAAUAGUAUUGUCAUGUGCUAGAUAGUUCAUGAUUGUGUAUAAGUAAAGGUUACUCGAUUCUGGGGAAAUGUGUGUAAAGUUUAAUGUAUAAACAAUCUAUGUUUAUAUCUUCCGCAAACAGUUGUAGAAAUAGCGAACCGGAUCCGCGGCGAUUCGGGACCCGGAUUUGGGGCUGCCACAACUAACGUGAUGUGGAGGUCAGUUACCCAUCAUGGGUUAACUGUCCAUAACAUAAAU